AACGAACGCUGGCGGCAUGGCUAAGACAUGCAAGUCGUACGGAACUCGUAGCAAUACGAGUUUAGUGGCGGAAGGGUGAGUAAUAAAUGGGUAACGUACCUUGAACUUGGGAACAACAGUUCGAAAGGACUGCUAAUGCCCAAUGAAGUCGCUGAAUCGCAUGGUUCGACGACCAAAGCCGGGGAUCGCAAGACCUGGUCGG
rnacentral:rRNA from 1 species